rnacentral:snRNA from 1 species
GUACUCACGUUGACAGCACAAAUACUAAAAGUGGAAUGAUACAGGGAAGAUUAGCAUGACCCCAUGGAAGUAUGACACACAAAUUCAUGAAGCAGUACAUAUUUUU